AAAUAAAUAAAUAACUCAAAUGCUUCUAUAUGCAAUUGCAGGACUACACCAAUCCUAUGGCCAAUACAAAGACAUUAACAAACAAAACAAUUAUUAAAGAUAAAAGUUUAAUUUUCUCUAGAGAUUAAACAAUAAAUAUAUCUAUAUAUAUUUAUAAACUCCAAUAUAUAUAGCUUCAUGUAAAGCUAGCAAUACAAAUAUGCCAUUAUCUGGUUAUCUGUUGUGUAAAGGAUUGGGACCUGUAUAGAUUUUCCUCUUUUCAUCUUCCAAAACUGCAUCUUUGUUACCAUUUUCAUGACUAGCUCCUUUAUCUCCUUUAAGGCCACCACCAUGAUGAUGAGAAGAUUGAACAGGAUGAAACUGAGAAGUAGACCCAGUUUUGAAGCUGCCAAACCCAUCAGCAAAAGAUGAAGAUUUUAACAAUACAAGUACCAAAAGAAUGAAGAAAGCAAAAAAGGUGAUGAACUCUUUCUUCAUUAAACCCAUCUGCUAGAAAUAACCCAGACCAUGCAUAGAGAGUAAUAGUAAUAAUAUAUAGAUAUAGCCAAAAACCCUAGAGAGAAAACCACCACCAGCAGCAGCAGCAGCAGCAGAAGAAGAAGAAAUAAGAAGGGACAAAAGGGUUUUUAUUCCCCUCUUGGAUCUGUGCUAAAAAUGGGGUCUUAUGAUCUUAUAUGAAACUCAAGAUAAGUACAAGAAAGUUGCAGUUCUUUUGUUGUAGCUUUUCUUUUGUCUCUCGGGGAGUGUUGUUUCAAGAAAGAUUGUGUGAAAAGUUGAGGAUGAAUGGUCAAUGAGAGGAAGUGAGAGUCAAAUUGCAUAGGGUUUGGUGCCUGAAGCUGUUGAAGGCUAUUAAAUAUGGUUCAGACGGUGUUAGGAUGCAGAUUUCAGAGCCCAUGUUUUUGUUUGGGAAAGAAACCUCUCAAGAACCAGAAAGAAAGAGAGAGAGGGAAAUUAAUAAGAGAGGCAUGUUUCUGUUGGAGCUUUGGGUGUUACUUGUUUAAUAUGUUGCAUAUAUUUACAACAUCACAGAGAGAAAGAGAGACAGACAGAGAGAGAGAGAGAGAGAGGGAGAGAGAGAUUAUAUUUGUAAUAUCAAUUUUUGGGCCAUGAGGAAAUAGGUUAUAUAAAAAUCAUUUGAAUUUACUUUCCCUUGUUCUUCCAAGGAGUAACUUUUGCAAGAAGCUUGUAGUAGUAGUGCUUUUUGCACUCAUGAAUGUAUUAGCUAGCUAGCAAAAAAGGACUUCAAGUAACUUUAUGGCAAAACCCAUUUCCAAGACCUUGAAUUUCUCAAUUUUUUUUGGGUUUAGAUCCUUCAGGUUUAUUUGUGAUUUAAAAAAGUCCUUAAAACUCUUUUUUUUUUUUCUUUUGUUUUUCUUUUUAAUCAAUUCAAGAACC
rnacentral:lncRNA from 1 species